CAAAGUGAGAAAACAAUGGAGACCAUCACUAGCUAUUUCAACAAAACUCAGCAAUAGAAACAUUGGACAACACACUUAUUAGAGAAGAGAAGCACGAAAGAUGUCAUUCAUUACUAAAUGAGCAGCAAAGAAAAAUAUACAACCAUGUUAUACGCGCGGUAACCAUCAAUACUAGAGGGCUCUACUUUGUUUACGACAUGGAGGUACUAGAAAAAAACUUUCUCUACAGGACAAUCAUUGCAAGGCUAAGGGCUGGAAAAAAAUUUGUGUUUGCUGCUUCAUCAGAUGAUUCCUUCCGGGUUUGGUAUACGCUAAGCAUAUAGAUACACACCAGGGGGACACACACACCAGGUGCACAUUUUCUUCUAACCCUAAUCCUUAAUUCUCCUUAGACUUUUUGAGUUCAGCUCCGGAGUGCCUUGCACGUACCCAUCUUCGGUUCCCACAUGGUUGCUGGAAUACGAAAAUAUGGAGUCCUUCCAAGGAAGAGCAGUCCAACGAAGAAUCUAUUCUCCACAUCCAUACAUCUUUUGGCCGGUGGUAAAGCUCAUUUUUCUUAAAGCCCUCGGACAGGAAAGAAACAUCAAAGAUGAAAAAGAAGAGAAGGUCAAGGGGAGAUAUGUCAAUAUGUUUGAAGAAACUCGUG